rnacentral:rRNA from 1 species
AGUGAACGCUGGCGGUAGGCCUAACACAUGCAAGUCGAACGGCAGCACAGUAAGAGCUUGCUCUUACGGGUGGCGAGUGGCGGACGGGUGAGGAAUACAUCGGAAUCUACUUUUUCGUGGGGGAUAACGUAGGGAGACUUACGCUAAUACCGCAUACGCCCUACGGGUGAAAGCAGGGGAUCUUCGGACCUUGCGCGAUUGAAUGAGCCGAUGUCGGAUUAGCUAGUUGGCGGGGUAAAGGCCCACCAAGGCGACGAUCCGUAGCUGGUCUGAGAGGAUGAUCAGCCACACUGGAACUGAGACACGGUCCAGACUCCUACGGGAGGCAGCAGUGGGGAAUAUUGGACAAUGGGCGCAAGCCUGAUCCAGCCAUACCGCGUGGGUGAAGAAGGCCUUCGGGUUGUAAAGCCCUUUUGUUGGGAAAGAAAAGCAGCAGGUUAAUACCCCGCUGUUCUGACGGUACCCAAAGAAUAAGCACCGGCUAACUUCGUG